GAGUGUAUUAUAUGUUCGUACUCUAAUGAAACAAUCUUCUAAUGGAAGAAGUUACUUUCUAUAAAUUUUUGUAGAUAUGUAUUUUGGCAGCCAUCUCAUUGGCCGCAGAUAUAAAAUUUGAAACUCAAAAUUUGUUGUAUUGGAUGAUAUUUUGCACUGCAUAUGUAUAUGUUUAUUUUUAUGCACUCAUAUAUAUUUUGUUAUCAGGCUC
rnacentral:lncRNA from 1 species